rnacentral:lncRNA from 1 species
GAGGUCGGUCAUUGAAGUCAUUGUACGGCCGAACAUUAAUUUUGUACUUUAGCCUUCGGGCUUUUAUCAAUGGAGAGCUUUUUUCUAAAUUUAUGCUUGCCUCUUUUUUGCAUAGUAGGUAAACUUUUACCUUGGCUGCUUAAGUUGAAUUCCUCUCCCUCGAAUUUCUCUAAGUCUUCAAUCUCGGCUAAAUUCAUAGACUUAGAUUCUGGUAGCAUUCGCUAGAUUGUCAGGCUUAGGGAUCGCAUUAAGGCUCCGGGUUUAGACUUUAGGAAAAUUCGCUAAGUCCUUGAGCUCGGGCUCCGAAGAAGUCUCGCUAAUCCUUUAGGCUUAGCUUCCGAAAAUUUGGCCAAGUUCUUGGGCUCGGCUUCUAGAACAAGCUUGUCAAAACUUUAAGGUCGGGCUCCGAAGAGAUCCCGCUAGGCAUUUAGGUUUAUCCUCUGAAAAAUUUCGCCGAGUCCUUGGGCUCGGCUUCCAGAAUAAGCUUGUCAAAGCUUUAAGGUCUAACUCCGAAGAGAUCAUAGACUGAGGUCAGGCUAUCGUUGGAGCUUUCGUGCUUUUUGGUCUCGAACUUGGUUGGAGUAUCAAGAGGUAGAAUCAGAACUUACGGUGAGUGACUUGGCACUUCCGAGCUC